rnacentral:rRNA from 1 species
GACAGAGGGUGCAAACGUUGCUCGGAAUCACUGGGCGUAAAGGGCGUGUAGGCGGGAGAGAAAGUCGGGCGUGAAAUCCCUAGGCUCAACCUAGGAACUGCACUCGAAACUUCUUUUCUUGAGUGCCGGAGAGGAAAGCGGAAUUCCUGGUGUAGAGGUGAAAUUCGUAGAUAUCAGGAGGAACACCAGUGGCGAAGGCGGCUUUCUGGACGGUAACUGACGCUGAGACGCGAAAGCGUGGGGAGCAAACAGG